rnacentral:rRNA from 1 species
UAAAAGUUGUAACAAGGUUUCCGUAGGUGAACCUGCGGAAGGAUCAUCA